UACAGAGACCUCAAGCGUUAUCCGGAAUCAUUGGGCGUAAAGCGUACCGAUAGGUGGCUUUGUGUGUCAGAAGUGAAAUCUUCAGGCUUAACCUGGAGAAUGUCUUUUGAAACUACAAAGCUAGAGGGGCAAAGAGGAAGCUGGAACGAACGGUGUAGUAGUGAAAUGCGUUGAUAUCGUUCGGAACACCGAUAGCGUAGGCAGGCUUCUGGGUGCCACCUGACACUGCUAGGACGAGAGCGUGG
rnacentral:rRNA from 1 species